rnacentral:rRNA from 1 species
AGUGAACGCUGGCGGCAGGCCUAACACAUGCAAGUCGAGCGGCAGCGCGGUGCCAACUCUGGCGUCCAGCGGCGGACGGGUGAGUAAUUCGUCGGAAUCUGCCUUUUUGUGGGUGAUAACGUAGGGAAACUUGCGCUAAUACCGCAUACGUCCUACGGGAGAAAGUGGGGGACCUCAAGACCUCACGCAGUAAGAUGAGCCGACGACCGAUUAGCUAGUUGGUGGGGUAAAGGCCCACCAAGGCGACGAUCCGUAGCUGGUCUGAGAGGAUGAUCAGCCACACUGGGACUGAGACACGGCCCAGACUCCUACGGGAGGCAGCAGUGGGGAAUAUUGGACAAUGGGCGCAAGCCUGAUCCAGCCAUGCCGCGUGUGUGAAGAAGGCCUUCGGGUUGUAAAGCACUUUUGUUCGGAAAGAAAAGCAGGGAGCUAAUACCUUGCGGGGAUGACGGUACCGAAAGAAUAAGCACCGGCUAACUUCGUG